UAGAAAGUAGUCUGAGUUGCUAGUCUCCCAGAAGGGAGGUGAUGCCUUGUGACAGUAUUUGAAGCACUCAUGAUCAUGCUUACUUUUGGUUUGCUUAUCGUAGCGCUACUGUCCGAGAAACGAAAAUAGACCGCCCCCUGGUCAAGGAAUGCGGUCUAUUUCGGUCGUAACACCUAAUUAAAGCCUACUGCCCUUAAAAGCAGCUGUUGCAGGGGGAGUCGUGUUAGCGCACGGCUCC
rnacentral:misc_RNA from 1 species